rnacentral:rRNA from 1 species
GGGAGCUCUCCCAUAUGGUCGACCUGCAGGCGGCCGCGAAUUCACUAGUGAUUAGAGUUUGAUCAUGGCUCAGAUUGAACGCUGGCGGCAGGCCUAACACAUGCAAGUCGAGCGGUAGAGAGAAGCUUGCUUCUCUUGAGAGCGGCGGACGGGUGAGUAAUGCCUAGGAAUCUGCCUGGUAGUGGGGGAUAACGUUCGGAAACGGACGCUAAUACCGCAUACGUCCUACGGGAGAAAGCAGGGGACCUUCGGGCCUUGCGCUAUCAGAUGAGCCUAGGUCGGAUUAGCUAGUUGGUGGGGUAAUGGCUCACCAAGGCGACGAUCCGUAACUGGUCUGAGAGGAUGAUCAGUCACACUGGAACUGAGACACGGUCCAGACUCCUACGGGAGGCAGCAGUGGGGAAUAUUGGACAAUGGGCGAAAGCCUGAUCCAGCCAUGCCGCGUGUGUGAAGAAGGUCUUCGGAUUGUAAAGCACUUUAAGUUGGGAGGAAGGGCAGUAAAUUAAUACUUUGCUGUUUUGACGUUACCGACAGAAUAAGCACCGGCUAACUCUGUGCCAGCAGCCGCGGUAAUAAAUCGAAUUCCCGCGGCCGCC